GUCUAUGGCCAUGCCACCCUGAACAAGCCCAAUCCCGUCUGAUCUCGGAAGCUAAGCAGGGUCAGGCCUGCUUAGUACUUGGAUAGGAGACCACCUAGGAAGACCAGGUGCUGUAGGUG
rnacentral:rRNA from 1 species